UCCCUUCUGUUUUCCUUUUUCUCUCCCUAUACUAUUCUUGCCGUAUUCUUCACCACAGAGAUCAUCAACAGGUAGAUUGCUCCCUUGUAUUUGUUCAGCAUUAGUGCCCUCCUUAGUCCUUGUUCAAGCCAAUCUGCUUAAAGCCCAUCUAUUCCAUCUCCUUCAGUGGUGUCUGCUCUACUGGGUUACCAUCAUGGACUGUUUCGGGGGGUGGCACAACAACUGAGGAUACAUCAGACGAAGAUGCUAGGAAAUCAAUACUAGUAUGUGACAAUGAAGAACGCACGGCAGGCACAGGCUG
rnacentral:lncRNA from 1 species